GACGAACGCUGGCGGCGUGCCUAAUACAUGCAAGUCGAACGCAGUGGGGACGGGUGAGUAACACGUGGGUAACCUCCCAUCAGAGGGGAUAACCGUUGGAAACAGGUGCUAACCCGCUAUUGGUGGAUGGACCCGCGGUGCAUUAGCUAGUUGGUGGGGUAACGGCUUACCAAGGCCACGAUGCAUAGCCGACCUGAGAGGGUGAUCGGCCACACUGGGACUGAGACACGGCCCAGACUCCUACGGGAGGCAGCAGUAGGGAAUCUUCGGCAAUGGACGAAAGUCUGACCGAGCAACGCCGCGUGAGUGAAGAAGGUUUUCGGAUCGUAAAGCUCUGUUGUUGGAGAAGCGGUAUCUAACCAGAAAGCCACGGCUAACUACGUGCCAGCAGCCGCGGUAAUUC
rnacentral:rRNA from 1 species